rnacentral:lncRNA from 1 species
AUUUUUUUUUUCUCGAAGACUACACAAACUAGGGAAAAACGGGUAGCAGUUCCUGUUACUAUAGAAAUGCCAGUGUUGCAUUACAACCAAAAAAAUAUAUAGGGUCAUGCGGCUCAAAUUGACUUAAAAUGCAGUUGAAAAAGAUCGUCUACUUUUUUCGCUUAAUGAAAAAGGCAUAUUUUUAAUGGCCCUGACGUGCAGAAAUAGAAGAUAUUUUCUAUAAUUCGUAAAAUGUGAAUAUGAUUUUC